AGGGCUGUAGGUUAAUGGUAGACCUGCUCUCUCCAAAAGAGCUAGUGGGGGUUCGAUUCCUCCCAGCCCUG
rnacentral:tRNA from 1 species